rnacentral:rRNA from 1 species
UACGUAGGUGACGAGCGUUAUCCGGAUUUACUGGGCGUAAAGCGCUUGUAGGUGGCUUCGUAAGUUGGGCGUGAAAACUCUGGGCUUAACCCAGAGACGCCGUCCAAUACUGCGAGGCUAGAGGAUGUCAGAGGAAGGUGGAAUUCCUGGUGUAGUGGUGAAAUGCGUAGAUAUCAGGAGGAACACCCGUGGCGAAGGCGGCCUUCUGGGGCAUUCCUGACACUGAGAAGCGAAAGCUAGGGGAGCAAACAGGAUUAGAAACCCUGGUAGUCCUAGCUGUAAACGAUGGAUGCUAGGUGUUGGCGGAUUUAACCCUGCCAGUGCCGAAGCUAACGCGUUAAGCAUCCCGCCUGGGAAGUACGAUCGCAAGAUUAAA